rnacentral:rRNA from 2 species
GGUUAAGCGACUAAGCGUACACGGUGGAUGCCCUGGCAGUCAGAGGCGAUGAAGGACGUGCUAAUCUGCGAAAAGCGUCGGUAAGGUGAUAUGAACCGUUAUAACCGGCGAUGUCCGAAUGGGGAAACCCAGUGCAAUUCGUU